AUUUCAUGAUGUGGGCACUUCCUUUACUACUCUUUAAAAUGUCCCCACGCGUCAUAUAAGGACUCCCCAUCGAGCUGAUGGAAAUGAUUAAUUUAUCCUCGAUAUC